rnacentral:rRNA from 1 species
GAUGAACGCUGGCGGCGUGCCUAAUACAUGCAAGUCGAGCGAACGGACGAGAAGCUUGCUUCUCUGAUGUUAGCGGCGGACGGGUGAGUAACACGUGGAUAACCUACCUAUAAGACUGGGAUAACUUCGGGAAACCGGAGCUAAUACCGGAUAAUAUUUUGAACCGCAUGGUUCAAAAGUGAAAGACGGUCUUGCUGUCACUUAUAGAUGGAUCCGCGCUGCAUUAGCUAGUUGGUAAGGUAACGGCUUACCAAGGCAACGAUGCAUAGCCGACCUGAGAGGGUGAUGGGCCACACUGGAAGUGAGACACGGUCCUGACUCCUACGGGAGGCAGAAGUAGGGAAUGUUCGGCAAUGGGCGAAAGCCUGACGGAGCAACGCCGCGUGAGUGAUGAAGGUCUUCGGAUCGUAAAACUCUGUUAUUAGGGAAGAACAUAUGUGUAAGGAACUGUGCACAUCUUGACGGUACCUAAUCAGAAAGCCACGGCUAACUACGUG